AGGCUGCGGGGAGACCACAGGGCGAGCAACAUCCCGGCUCUCUCGACGCCAGGAGACCGCGGCGUGGAAACAUCAGAGGAGGACGCCCUGUGUUCACGCUCUGUCCGGUACCUCCUACUGUGAUGGAGCAAAGCUGGAAGCCAGGAGACUAGGGAGGAGACAACUGUCACAGUCCAAGUGGAUGAAGAAACCGAGUCUCUAAAUACCAUCUCCAUGCUAAAAAUCUCCAAACGUACAUCUCCUGCCGGGAUGUUUCACCUGAACUCAAGCUUGAAUAUCCAGCUGCGACUCGACAUGCCUGAUUGACAACUCAGCCUGCAGGUCUUUGCUCAGAUGUGAAUGUAUCCAAGGCCUUCCUUGACCACCCUGUUUAAAUGAAAAAGACCCUCCCUUCAUCAGCACACCUUGGCCCCCUUCUCUCCAUGGCACCCAUCACCAACUGACAGGAUUGGGUUUGGCUGCAAGUAACAAGUAACAGACUCCAGUGGCUUUGCUGGCUAGAGGUUCCAUUUUUCUUGCGUAAAAUGAAGUCCAGAGGAAGUCCAGAGGUGGACUCGUUCAGGGACAGCACCAAUGACCAACUUCCUUGAAUGCCACUUUGAUGUGAUGAAGGAGCUGAAGCAGCCAUUUUGGACUUCACUGGAAGCUGUGGAAUGAAGAUAGUAGAGCAACCAGAUAGAAGGAACCAGGGUUUCUAGAAUGAACUUGCAGAACUAAACCAGCCCACUUGGACCUUCUACCUCUGUGCUGGAAUUAAAAUUCUGUCCCAUUGAGCCACGCUGCAGCAGCCAUCUUGAAACCAUGAGGACAGCCAUCAAUAAAUUGCUGAGAAUGACAGAGCAGGAAGAUGGAAAGAAUCCGUCUGGCAUAGAGUCAGUGACAGUUCCAUCAGCGGGAAGGUGAAAAUGAAACUGUGUUCCCAGCUCCGGAAAGCAAUCUGCUAUUCAGCAGGAAAAGAUCAAGGGUUAAUGACACGGAGUUGGGCAAAGGCUGCUGCUGUGGCUCUGAGCAUUAUCAGGAGGCGGGAACAAAGAAUCGUUGUUAAAUGGAUUUGUUACAAAAGUUAUUUCCUAAUGUAAUUCAUGAAAUGCUUGUCAGAACAUUAAGCACAUCCUUCGAAAGCACAAGAGAACUUUAAAAAGAAGAAGAAGAAGAAGAAGAAAAACAGAAAGAAAAGCGGCUUCUGAAGUCAAUUACAGAGCUCUUAGAGAGGGUUAAUAUCCUUAAUAUACAAAGAGUUCCUGCAAAACAAUAAGAAAAGGUAAACACCUUAUUAUAAAAUUGACUAUUCACAAGUGAAGAAAUACAAAAGGUGGGCAUAUGUAUGAAACAAGAUCCACUCUGCCAAUAAUCAAGGAAAUGCAAACACAACCUACAAUGAUUUAUCAUUUUCCACCUAUCAGACUGCCAUAAAAUGACUGGGCAUACCACGAUGUUCAGUGGGCAGGUAUUUUAAAGCACUGCAGAAAUCUAAUUUUGCAGCACUUAUCCUAGGGCUGUAAUACGCCAAGCAUUCUCUAUGGACAAAAAUGUUCACUGCAGCAUUAUUUAUCAUAGUGAAAAAUUGGGGAAAAACCCAGAAAUGCCAAACUACAGAGGAUUCAUGAAAUACACAAUAAAAUACUAUAUUAAAAUUAAAUUGUAUUAAAUAAAUAUUAAAAAUUGUAUUAAAAUACUAAUUAAAAUGGCAACAUAGAGAGAUGCCACAACAUAUUGGACAGAAAAAAUUUUUCACACACAUGAUCUAACGUGUACUAAGUUGUAUGUGCAAUUGAAUGACUAUUAAAGAGUGUAUU